rnacentral:tRNA from 1 species
GCCAACGUAGCUCAAUCUGGCAGAGCAUUGGUUUUGUAAACCAAAGGUUGGGGGUUCGAUUCCUCCCGUUGGCU